GAUGAACGCUAGCUACAGGCUUAACACAUGCAAGUCGCGGGGCAGCAUGGGGGUUGCUUGCAAUCCCCGAUGGCGACCGGCGCACGGGUGAGUAACGCGUAUCCAACCUGCCCUUCACCACGGGAUAACCCGGCGAAAGUCGGACUAAUACCGUAUGUUGUCCAUUGACGGCAUCCGAUUUGGACGAAAGGUUUGGCGGUGAAGGAGGGGGAUGCGUCCGAUUAGCUGGACGGCGGGGUGACGGCCCGCCGGGGCGACGAUCGGUAGGGGUUCUGAGAGGAAGGUCCCCCACACUGGAACUGAGACACGGUCCAGACUCCUACGGGAGGCAGCAGUGAGGAAUAUUGGUCAAUGGGCGUAAGCCUGAACCAGCCAAGUAGCGUGCAGGAUGACGGCCCUAUGGGUUGUAAACUGCUUUUAUGCGGGGAUAAAGUGGCCCACGUGUGGGUUUUUGCAGGUACCGCAUGAAUAAGGACCGGCUAAUUCCGUG
rnacentral:rRNA from 1 species